AAAUUGUGUGUGAUUGAAAAAAAAUGUCGUGGAGAAGAUAAAUAAUGAAUUUUAUGUGCAUGUACUUUCUGCAAGGGUAAAAUUAAUUAAAAUCAAACAUAAGUCUUGAUAUUACACCUUUCCAUUUCUAAGUUACUUUCAUUUUCUUGAGGUUCAAAUAUUUUGAAAAAAUGUGGUGUCUAUAAGUAUCCGAUUUAAGUGAUUAAAUCCUAGUCAGCUCCGUUAAAUGCCGAUUUUUUAAAUCAAAUUCACCGUGAAAUUGUGAAAUACUUCGAAACUGUGGAAUCGUUCGAAGAAAAAAGCAAGUUGAGUUUGUAAGAAUCUUGAAUUUAUAGCGUUAUCAUAGUGGCCUUUAAUAACUUGUACAACCGUUGAGUUCAUUGACUUCAUUUAAUAUACUAUACACUCGCAUACCGAAGCAACAGGUGUAAUAGUACGGGGGAGAAACCAACAUAUUCAUAACGAAGUAGAAAAUAUCAUUCAAAAAAUUCCAUAAGAGUAAAAUUCUUAUCAAGUUUUAGCCGUCAAAGACAAACCAUCAUUUACAAAAUAAUUUUGAUACUCUUUGUCUAUUACAUAUCCGGUGUAAAAGAUAUAUCAUGUAUUAUCUUCAAUCAGUGAAGUGAUUUUACGCGUCAUAGAUAGGAGUGACAACUAAAACUACAUAAAAGAUGCAUGUUAUUUGGCUUACUCUUGUUUUGAAUAGAAAAGCAAAAACUGGUAACAAAUUGAAUUACAUGAUACGAAUAAAGCGGGGCAUUGGCCGCUUGUAAAUUGUGCAAUAACAAUACUUACGCUUUAUGAACAAGUUUUGGGUUUAUUGAACCAUUGUACGAACGAGAUGGAGAUUCCUUGGAUGCAUCAACAAAAUGAGAAACGGAAUGAUAAUGCCUUUGUUGAAAGUCUUCAAUUUUGAUUGAAUUUAUGUCAACAAUACCAUCUUCGAACAUGUAGAAUUGAUUGAAUUAAGGGAACAAAUAGUGAAUUAACCCAGAUUUUGAAGAAAUUACAUAUGAAUAUUACAAUUAUUACAUACGAGGGAGUCGUGCACUUGAAUACAUGAAUAAUGUACACUUAUAGCGGCUAUUUAAAAUUAAAUAAACAUUUAAUGGAGCUAUGUGAAUAUUCAAAUCCAAAAAUCGAAAGAGAAUCAUCCGUCUUUCAGAAUAUACAAUACAUAAAAAAUGAUAAAUAUAUAUUUCGUUUCAUAAUUUGGUAUUAUGUGGUAUUCGGCGUGAAAGACGACCACAGAUAUUCAGAAUAAUUUCGAUGAAACCACAAUUUCCAAUCAACAUAGUUUAUUCUUCUCGCAAAAAACGCGAGUCAAUGGGAAAAUCUGUUGAACAAAAUCAUAUCAGUUUCCUUUGCAUAGCAAAACGCAAUCAUAACAAUCGAAAAAUAUAUGAAAACCAACGAAGUGAUUUUGCAGCUUUACUGAAUAAGUCAUUUCAUUUAUUUGGAAAACCCAUAUUGGAAAUAAUCACAAUGUCGUUAACUUUAGUUUGUUUAUAUAUUAUAAUUGGGUUGUGCUUUUUAUUAUUCAUAAAUUACAAAUUUUUAAAACGUUUUAUCACUUCACCAAAUCACGAAAAGUUUGCACAUGAUACAAUAAAACGUAACAACGAAAAAAUUGCAAACAAUAAUACGCACUUCAACAAUAAUAACGCCGAUGAAAACUAUAGUCCACCACAUGUGACUUCAGAUGUCUGGUCGAUACCAGGUCCAAAAAGAAUACCUUUUUUGGGAACAAAAUGGAUUUACCUGUGGAAAUACAAGAUGUCGAAAAUACAUGAAGUUUACCGGGAUUUCAAUCGUCAGUAUGGUCCUAUUGUGUUGGAGGUAACUUCAAAUGGUAUUCCAAUUGUCAACCUAUACAAUCGCCAAGACAUUGAGAAAGUGUUACGCUUUCCAAGUAAAUAUCCGUUUCGCCCCCCAACUGAAAUUGUAGCAUUUUAUCGUAAAAUGAGGCCUGAUCGAUAUGCAUCAACUGGAAUCACUAACGAGCAAGGUGAAACAUGGCAUAAUUUACGUACAAAACUCACCUCACAAAUCACAAGCCCCAGAGUUCUACAAUCCUUUUUACCAACAUUGAAUUAUAUUUGUGAUGAUUUUAUCGAUCUGUUACGAGCAAAACGAGACUCAACUACGAAUGUUGUGGAAAACUUUCAAAACGUUGCCAAUUUGUUUGGACUUGAAGCGGUUUGUACGUUGAUGCUGGGGAAAAGAAUGGGGUUUUUAUCACAACGCCCACAAGAAAACGUUGCAAAAUUGGCCGCCGCUGUUAAAACAUUGUUUAUAACUCAAAGAGACUCGUCUUAUGGAUUUAGUAUGUGGAAGUAUGUUUCUACAAAAACUUAUCGGGACUUCGUUGAAACUGAAGACACUAUUUACAAUAUCAUAUCUGAAAUUGUAGAUACAGCUUUAAAUGAAAAUCAACUGGAGUUUGCUGACGAAGACAGUAUGAAUAGUGUAUUUUUCAGUAUUUUAAGUGAAAAAGAUCUUGAUAUCAGAGAUAAAAAAUCAGCGAUAAUAGACUUUAUUGCUGCAGGGAUAGAGACACUUGCAAAUACUCUUAUCUUUAUUUUGCACCACGUAACCCGUGAAAGAGGCACUUUGGAGAAAAUCAAAGAAGAGUUCGAACAUUGUUCAAAUGAAAUCGAUUCAAAUGAUUUGGCGCAAGCUGUGUUCACAAAAGCAUGUCUGCAGGAAACAUAUAGAAUUUGUCCGACUGCAUUUUGUUUAGCGCGUAUAUUACAAGAGGAUGCAUGUUUGUCAGGAUACAAUAUUAAAGCGGGAACUGUGAUCUUGUGUCAAAAUAUGGUUGCAUGUCAAAAUCCUGCCAAUUUCAAAUCUCCAGAUGACUUUAGGCCAGAGAGAUGGCUAGUUGACGAUUCAAAAAUGAAUGCCAGAUGCUCUGAGCCCGGAACCAAUUUGGUUGUGCCUUUUGGAGUUGGAAAACGGCAAUGUCCAGGUCGGCGAUUCGUUGAAAUGGAGUUGAUAAUAAUUAUAGCAAAGAUGGCACGUGCGUUCAAUAUAAAUUUUUGUGAUAAACUCGAGAUGGAAUUUGAGUUCCUACUCACGCCAAAAACUCCUAUCAAUUUGAUAAUAAACGAAAGACUGUCGUAACUUUUAAGUGAGGAAAUCUGUAUGUUUUAAGCAUAUUUCUAGAAUUCAAGAAUGUUGUUUACUAUUUAAACAAAAUCGUUGAAAAUUCAUUCCAUAAUUGGGAUAUUAUUAAUGUUUUUUCGGUUUCUAUUUUUGAAAUGGAUAGUUGCAGAAAGCUCUAACGAUUCCACGAAAAUUCAACACAUAUUCGUACCAAUUUGUCUCCCUUUGUAGCUAAAAAUUUCGCCAAACUUACUUUCUUUUACGUCACACUAACAGAAAUGGCUAGCGUAAAUUGUUGGUUUGGAUAUUUUGAUAAUUAUUAUGUUCACGUUCAGCAUCACACAGCAUUUCCUCACCGAACUAAAAUUGGUUUUGAACACCAUAUGUCUUUACAGUCUUGAGAUUCCAUAAUGCAAUUUUAUUUUUAAUUCAUUUUCAUUAUGAAGAGGGAGAUGAAGCCGGAAAAACCCUAAAUUUAAAAAAAAAUGGCCUGUGUCAUAUCCAAAUAACCUUUCGAAUAUUACAUUUAUUGCAUUUUCUUAAACUCGCGUUCGCAGUUGGAGUAAAUUUAACACUAUUUUGAAAGGAUCCGUGGAAGGAAAAGGAAUUUCUUUUGAUUUUAUUACAGGUUUCAUUGCAUUUGAAGGGAGCUGGACGCAAAUUGAACGAAAUAAAGAAAUAGUGUCGCUUGAAUUUAAACCUCUAAGAAGUGAAACCCCUCCAGCUAUGUUCCUCCAGCCAUGCUCGAGUUAUGUGGUCUCAAAGUCGGAAAAUUUCGAGUUCCACCCACCUAAGGGCUGUGUUGCGCAGUAGAGGGAUAAUUAAAAUAAAUACUUUUGGAGAAUGUAUAUGACUAGGUAUCCAAACAGGAAGGUAUUUCCAUCGUUUGAAAGGUAUUUUCGAGACGCAUACAUAGCCGUUUAAAUCUUCGAAAUUCUCAGGCUACUAUCUAAGAUGUUAGCAUACGCGUUUUCAAAAGUUCUUCAAAUUUUCCAGCUAAUCAGUAAACGUAUGGGUGUUUCAGAAAUUUUUUCUCAAAAUUCCACCUGAAUUCGAUAGUUGGGCACAAAUGAUGACGAUUGGUGCAAAUAUAACUUCCCCCAGUUCACAGGGCGAUUGCCCAGGAGCCCCCAAAGUACGAAUAAUCGGCGAUUUUCGAAAAUCUAACUUCUAAAAGCCUGGGAAUUUUGCUAUACUCUCUUCUGCAAAGUUGUAGAUCUUGACGAGAUAAGAAACAUUGCUAAACAUGUCACCCCCAAAAAACCUUUGAGUUUUAGGGUGACUUAGAAUUUACCUAUUUUCAAGGGUGGUUUUUAAAGUGAAGGGGUGGUUUUUUGGGGGUGACGUGUUAAGUAAUGUUUCUUAUCUCGUCAAGAUCUACAACUUUGCAUAAGAGAGUAUAGCAAAAUUCCCAGGCGUUUAGAAGUUAGAUUUUCGAAAAUCGCCGAUUUUUCGUACUUUGGGGGCUCCUGGGGAACCGCCCUGUGAACUGGAAGAAGUUAUAUUUGCACCAAUCGUCAUCAUUUGAGCCCAACUAUCGAAUCCAGGUGAAAAUUUCUGAAACACUCAUACGUUUACUGGUAAGGAAAUGUGUUAUGAAUUUGUUUAUUAUACAUUUUUCGUUUUUCUCGGCUAAAAUCUAGCAUAGAUAGACUAUUCUCAACUCUGAAAUAAAUGACGCAGUGGAGGAUUAUUUUUUCUUUGUUUCAACAUACUUUUACUCAGGAUAGAUCAUUUCAUAGUAAUAAUAAUAACUGUGGAAAUAAUUUUUGUUUUUUUUUAUUUGAUUUGAAUAAA